GCCGGCGUAGCUCAGAGGUAGAGCUCUCGAUUCGUAAUCGAGUGGUCAUGGGUCCGAAUCCCAUCGCCGGCUCCA
rnacentral:tRNA from 1 species